AACGUAGGAGACAAACGUUAUCCGGAGUUACUGGGCGUAAAGGGCGUGUAGGCGGUUAGUUAAGUCUGGCGUGAAAUUUCUCGGCUUAACCGAGGCAGGUCGUCGGAUACUGCGAGACUAGAGGACGGUAGAGGCGUGUGGAAUUCCGGGUGUAGUGGUGAAAUGCGUAGAGAUCCGGAGGAACACCAGUGGCGAAGGCGACACGCUGGGCCGUACCUGACACUGAGGCGCGAUAGCAUGGGGAGCAAACAGGGA
rnacentral:rRNA from 1 species